GGCCUUGAGCCGUGGCUUUCGGAGCUAACGCGUUAAGUAGACCGCCUGGGGAGUACGGUCGCAAGAUUAAAACUCAAAUGAAUUGACGGGGGCCCGCACAAGCGGUGGAGCAUGUGGUUUAAUUCGAUGCAACGCGAAGAACCUUACCUACUCUUGACAUCCAGAGAACUUUCCAGAGAUGGAUUGGUGCCUUCGGGAACUCUGAGACAGGUGCUGCAUGGCUGUCGUCAGCUCGUGUCGUGAG
rnacentral:rRNA from 1 species